GUUGGGGUUUGCGGGGGCGGACACAUACACGGGGUUAUUUGGCAAAAAAAAAAAAAGAACAUUAUUUGAAAAUGAUUUACCUUAAACCUAAC